rnacentral:rRNA from 1 species
GUUUGAUCCUGGCUCAGAGCGAACGCUGGCGGCACGCCUAACACAUGCAAGUCGAGCGAGAAAGCGGCUUCGGUCGCGAGUAAAGCGGCGGACGGGUGAGUACAACGUGGGUAAUCUACCCGAAGGUUCGGGACAACUCCGAGAAAUCGGGGCUAAUACCGGAUAAGACCACGGUAUCCGCGGAUACAGAGGUAAAAGAUUCAUCGCCUUCGGAUGAGUCCACGCCCCAUCAGGUAGUUGGUAAGGUAAAGGCUUACCAAGCCUAAGACGGGUAGCCGGCCUUAGCAGGUGAACGGCCACAUGGGAACUGAGACACGGUCCUGACUCCUACGGGAGGCAGCAGUGGGGAAUAUUGGGCAAUGGGCGAAAGCCUGACCCAGCGAUGCCGCGUGAGGGAUGAAGGCCUUCGGGUUGUAAACCUCUGUCAGGAGGGACGAUGGGACUUCGGUCUUGACUGUACCUCCAGAGGAAGCCCCGGCUAACUCCGUGCCAGCAGCCGCGGUAAUACGGAGGGGGCAAGCGUUGCUCGGAAUUACUGGGCGUAAAGGGUCCGCAGGCUGUCGGACAAGUUGGGUGUGAAAGCUCAGGGCUUACCCCNUGGAUUGCAUCCAAAACUGUCUGACUAGAGUCCGAGAGAGGUUGGCGGAUUCCCGGUGUAGCGGUGAAANUGCAUAGAUAUCGGAGGAACACCCAGAGCGAAGCNGCCCUACUGCUCGCACUGACGCUCAGGACGAAGCGUGGUAGCAACCGGAUAGAUACCCUGUAGUC